UGAGCCAAGUUUAGGGUUUUCUCAAAACCCAAGCAGUAUUGAACUGAAGAGUUUGAUCAUGGCUCAGAUUGAACGCUGGCGGCAGGCCUAACACAUGCAAGUCGAGCGGAUGAGAAGAGCUUGCUCUUCGAUUCA
rnacentral:rRNA from 1 species